rnacentral:rRNA from 1 species
CCUACGGGCGGCAGCAGUGAGGAAUAUUGGUCAAUGGACGAGAGUCUGAACCAGCCAAGUAGCGUGAAGGAUGACUGCCCUAUGGGUUGUAAACUUCUUUUAUAUGGGAAUAAAAUGUUCCACGUGUGGGAUUUUGUAUGUACCAUAUGAAUAAGGAUCGGCUAACUCCGUGCCAGCAGCCGCGGUAAUACGGAGGAUCCGAGCGUUAUCCGGAUUUAUUGGGUUUAAAGGGAGCGUAGGUGGAUUGUUAAGUCAGUUGUGAAAGUUUGCGGCUCAACCGUAAAAUUGCAGUUGAAACUGGCAGUCUGGAGUACAGUAGAGGUGGGCGGAAGUCGUGGUGUAGCGGUGAAAUGCUUAGAUAUCACGAAGAACUCCGAUUGCGAAGGCAGCUCACUGGACUGCAACUGACACUGAGGCUCGAAAGUGUGGGUAUCAAACAGGAUUAGAUACCCCUGUAGUC